rnacentral:rRNA from 1 species
AUAAAAAUCAACUUUGUUGGUGAAUCAUAAUAACUUCUCGGACCGCAUGGCCUCGUGCUGGCGGUGCUUCAUUCAAAUAUCUGCCCUAUCAACUGUCGAUGGUAGGAUAGAGGCCUACCAUGGUUG